rnacentral:rRNA from 1 species
AUUGAACGCUGGCGGCAUGCCUUACACAUGCAAGUCGAACGGCAGCACGGGUGCUUGCACCUGGUGGCGAGUGGCGAACGGGUGAGUAAUACAUCGGAACAUGUCCUGUAGUGGGGGAUAGCCCGGCGAAAGCCGGAUUAAUACCGCAUACGAUCUACGCAUGAAAGCGGGGGACCUUCGUGCCUCGCGCUAUAGGGUUGGCCGAUGGCUGAUUAGCUAGUUGGUGGGGUAAAGGCCUACCAAGGCGACGAUCAGUAGCUGGUCUGAGAGGACGACCAGCCACACUGGGACUGAGGCACGGCCCAGACUCCGACGGGAGGCAGCAGUGGGGAAUUUUGGACAAUGGGCGAAAGCCUGAUCCAGCAAUGCCGCGUGUGUGAAGAAGGCCUUCGGGUUGUAAAGCACUUUUGUCCGGAAAGAAAUCCUUGGCCCUAAUACGGUCGGGGGAUGACGGUACCGGAAGAAUAAGCACCGGCUAACUACGUG